rnacentral:rRNA from 1 species
UACGAAGGGGGCUAGCGUUGCUCGGAAUCACUGGGCGUAAAGGGUGCGUAGGCGGGUCUUUAAGUCAGGGGUGAAAUCCUGGAGCUCAACUCCAGAACUGCCUUUGAUACUGAAGAUCUUGAGUUCGGGAGAGGGAUGCGGAAUUCCAGGUGUAGCGGUGAAAUGCGUAGAUAUCUGGAGGAACACCGGUGGCGAAGGCGGCAUCCUGGACCGACACUGACGCUGAGGAGCGAAAGCCAGGGGAGCAAAGCGGG